rnacentral:rRNA from 1 species
AGAAUGCUAGUCGAGCGCCUUCUAGCCAAAAGGAGGCGCGGCGCACAGCUCACGUANCACGUGGCUAACCUGCCCUUGGGAUAGGAACAACCCCGGGAAACUGGGGCUAAUUCCCAAUAGGUGAAGAACUCUGGAAUGAGUCUUCACCAGAAAGGACUCCUACACUAUGCUUGUAGGUUUCGCCCAAGGAUGGGGCCGCGACCGAUCAGGUUGUUGGUGAGGUAAUGGCUCACCAAGCCUUUUACCGGUGCGGGCCGUGAGAGCGGAAGCCCGGAGAUGGGCACUGAGACAAGGGCCCAGGCCCUACGGGGCGCAGCAGUCGCGAAAACUUUGCAAUAAGCGCAAGCUUGACAGGGCUAUCCCGAGUGCCAUCCGCUGAGGAAGGCUUUUACCCAGUCUAGAAAGCUGGGGGAAUAAGGAGAGGGCAAGUCUGGUGUCAGCCGCCGCGGUAAUACCAGCUCUCCGAGUGGUGUGGAUGUUUAUUGGGCCUAAAGCAUCCGUAGCUGGCUAGGUUAGUCCCCUGUUAAAUCCACCGAAUUAAUCGUUGGAUUGCGGGGGAUACUGCUUGGCUAGGGGACGAGAGAGGCAGACGGUAUUUUUGGGGUAGGGGUGAAAUCCUAUAAUCCCAGGAAGACCACCAGUGGCGAAGGCUGUCUGCUAGAACGCGCCUGACGGUGAGGGAUGAAAGCUGGGGGAGCGAACCGGAUUAGAUACCCGGGUAGUCCCAGCUGUAAACGAUG